UACGUAGGGUGCGAGCGUUGUCCGGAAUUAUUGGGCGUAAAGAGCUCGUAGGCGGCUUGUCGCGUCGGAUGUGAAAGCCCGGGGCUUAACCCUGGAAAGCCGGCCGAUACUGUCGGACUAGAGUCCGGAAGAGGCAAGUGGAAUUCCCGGUGUAGCGGUGAAAUGCGCAGAUAUCGGGAGGAACACCAAUUGCGAAGGCAGCUCGCUGGGACGUUACUGACACUGAGGCGCGAAAGCGUGGGGAGCGAACAGG
rnacentral:rRNA from 1 species